rnacentral:sRNA from 1 species
UUUUUGCGUUAGGGAUUAAAAUGAAAACCUUUUUUUGCUUUUUUAGCGAAAAAAGUUUGGAAUGAAAAGCCCGACCCGCC